rnacentral:rRNA from 1 species
AUGCACGCUGGCGGCGUGCCUCAUACAUGCCAGUCGAGCGAACAGACGAGGAGCUUGCUCCUCUGACGUUAGCGGCGGACGGGUGAGUAACACGUGGAUAACCUACCUAUAAGACUGGGAUAACUUCGGGAAACCGGAGCUAAUACCGGAUAAUAUAUUGAACCGCAUGGUUCAAUAGUGAAAGACGGUUUUGCUGUCACUUAUAGAUGGAUCCGCGCCGCAUUAGCUAGUUGGUAAGGUAACGGCUUACCAAGGCAACGAUGCGUAGCCGACCUGAGAGGGUGAUCGGCCACACUGGAACUGAGACACGGUCCAGACUCCUACGGGAGGCAGCAGUAGGGAAUCUUCCGCAAUGGGCGAAAGCCUGACGGAGCAACGCCGCGUAAGUGAUGAAGGUCUUCGGAUCGUAAAACUCUGUUAUUAGGGAAGAACAAAUGUGUAAGUAACUAUGCACGUCUUGACGGUACCUAAUCAGAAAGCCACGGCUAACUACGUG